rnacentral:rRNA from 1 species
UACGUAGGUGGCAAGCGUUGUCCGGAUUUAUUGGGUUUAAAGGGUGCGUAGGUGGUCUAUUAAGUCAGUGCUGAAAUAUCCCGGCUUAACCGGGAGGGUGGCAUUGAUACUGAUGGACUUGAGUAAAGUUGAGGUAGGCGGAAUUGACGGUGUAGCGGUGAAAUGCUUAGAUAUCGUCAAGGACACCUAUUGCGAAGGCAGCUUACUAAGCUUUAACUGACACUGAUGCACGAAAGCGUGGGGAUCAAACAGG